CAGUCGAACGAAGCACUCUAUUUGAUUUUCUUCGGAAAUGAAGAUUUUGUGACUGAUUGGCGGACGGGUGAGUAACGCGUGGGUAACCUGCCUCAUACAGGGGGAUAACAGUUGGAAACGGCUGCUAAUACCGCAUAAGCGCACAGGAUCGCAUGAUCUGGUGUGAAAAACUCCGGUGGUAUGAGAUGGACCCGCGUCUGAUUAGCCAGUUGGCAGGGUAACGGCCUACCAAAGCGACGAUCAGUAGCCGACCUGAGAGGGUGACCGGCCACAUUGGGACUGAGACACGGCCCAAACUCCUACGGGAGGCAGCAGUGGGGAAUAUUGCACAAUGGGGGAAACCCUGAUGCAGCGACGCCGCGUGAGCGAAGAAGUAUUUCGGUAUGUAAAGCUCUAUCAGCAGGGAAGAAGAAUGACGGUACCUGACUAAGAAGCACCGGCUAAAUACGUGCCAGCAGCCGCGGUAAUACGUAUGGUGCAAGCGUUAUCCGGAUUUACUGGGUGUAAAGGGAGCGCAGGCGGUGCGGCAAGUCUGAUGUGAAAGCCCGGGGCUCAACCCCGGUACUGCAUUGGAAACUGUCGUACUAGAGUGUCGGAGGGGUAAGUGGAAUUCCUAGUGUAGCGGUGAAAUGCGUAGAUAUUAGGAGGAACACCAGUGGCGAAGGCGGCUUACUGGACGAUAACUGACGCUGAGGCUCGAAAGCGUGGGGAGCAAACAGGAUUAGAUACCCUGGUAG
rnacentral:rRNA from 1 species